UAACCAUGAUGUGGACAUUGCAGCAACAGCCCUUUGAAACGCUCCCAACAUUCAUUGAAAGGUUCUCCAUCAUCUUGUUUAAAGUUAAAGAUUUGCCCUCUCAAAGUAG
rfam:Prunus persica cultivar Lovell chromosome G5, whole genome shotgun sequence.